GCCAAUGUCUAAAGUUGCCUAAAUUUCGC
rnacentral:sRNA from 1 species